rnacentral:rRNA from 1 species
AAUGGGCGAAAGCCUGACGGAGCAACGCCGCGUGAGGGAUGAAGGCCUCUGGGCUGUAAACCUCUUUUAUCAAGGAAGGAGAUCUGACGGUACUUGAUGAAUAAGCCACGGCUAAUUCCGUGCCAGCAGCCGCGGUAAUACGGGAGUGGCAAGCGUUAUCCGGAAUUAUUGGGCGUAAAGCGUCCGCAGGCGGCCCUUCAAGUCUGCUGUUAAAAAGUGGAGCUUAACUCCAUCAUGGCAGUGGAAACUGUUGGGCUUGAGUGUGGUAGGGGCAGAGGGAAUUCCCGGUGUAGCGGUGAAAUGCGUAGAUAUCGGGAAGAACACCAGUGGCGAAGGCGCUCUGCUGGGCCAUCACUGACGCUCAUGGACGAAAGCCAGGGGAGCGAAAGGGAUU